UGAUUUUGUGUAAUUUGGGUUUCAAUCUUCACACUUGUAAGUUCAAUAUAUAUUUCCGACAAAGAUGAAUAAAUAACCAGAGAAGUUUUCCUGAAUUCCCUGUAGCCGUGGGGAGCUUAGUUUUGAAAAUUACUUACCAUCAUUAAUUUUAAAAUGAGUGAAGCCAUCAAAGUUCAUCAAUGUUAGCAGAAGGCAGAUUGAAAUUAAAUUUUGAAACACAUCCUGGGAAAGGGUAAUGUGCUGAAGAUCAAGACUGUUGAAAUUCCUGAAGCCUUUGCAAAUCUCUAUACCAUCUUUCUUGCGUUUAAAAAAUUCAAGCUCGACCAAAGUUUCAAUGACAGACUUAACUAUAAUGCUAUGUUGAUUCCAAAAAUUUCUAAUUAAGGGGUCCAACAGAGUUCUAAGUAACAUUCUUCAAGUCCGGUAAUACUCUGCACUUUUUUAACAAGGAAUCUGGCAAUGCCACAUAAUCUUUAGCUGAGAGAACCUUUUAGUCAUAUAAUGCACUGUUAAAGGGCCCUCUUCUAAAGGAUGUUAAAUGAAAACAAUAAAUUUUCAGCUUUGAGACACAAGCUGACAAUGUAAACAGGCCCACGUCUGAAAUUUCAAAAAAUUUGAGGGACAAUACAAAGACGCCGAACAAAGAGUCUCACUGGGCUCCGCAGUGAAGAUACUUGCUGAAAUAAGGACUUUUUAGCCCAAAGCCGAAACUAUGACAAUGCAACUUUUACAAAAAGAAGAAAACGAAGAGUUUGAAGAUAGUUUUGAUGAUGGGACUGAUGUUAACACUCAUGAUUCCUUCAACUACUUCGACGAUAAGUCAUCAAAAUUUGACGAAGAAAAUAUUCAAGAGUUAAAUUUUGAUGAUGUGAAAGUUCAUGAAGGCUGCCUACAACAUUAAGUUCCUUUGUCUUGAAUGAUACGGAAAACAUGCACAACUCAGAAUUGCCAUACCAUAUACAAUGGGUGCUUUUGUGAAGUUUAGGUUGAUAAGUAUUCUGUUCGGGGAUUUGGAGGAUUAAUUAGAAGAAAGAAAGGGGCUGUGGCAAUCCGCAUCAAUUAUAAAGGAAUCAUAAUGGUGUACAUCUCUUCUCAUCUCUCUGCACAAGCUCGCAAUGUGGACGAAAGAAAUUCUCAAUGCAGGCACAUAUCACACAAAAUUUUCUCCAAUAACGUAAACCUUUAUGCAACGCGAGCCAGAUAGCAAUAUGGUUGGGGGAUCUCAAUUACAGGAUACAGAGUGAUCUUCAUCACAAAGUAUGAAGACAGUCAAUUUUUGUUAUGUAUUUGCAUUUGUUUCCGCUUUGUUAAGAGCCAAAACCUGAUGAGCACAAUGGUAACCCUCAUGUUAAAAUUUGGUGCUGCCAAUUUAAAAGAAGAGCUUUCUGAAA